UAGUCAUAUGCUUGUCUCAAAGAUUAAGCCAUGCAUGUCUAAGUACAAGCCUAACUAAGGUGAAACCGCGAAUGGCUCAUUAAAUCACACCUAAUCUACUGGAUAGUUAACAGUUACUUGGAUAACUGCGGUAAUUCUGGAGCUAAUACAUGCACAAAGCCCCGAACUUACGUGAGGGGCGCUUUUAUUAGAUCAAAACCAAACGGCUUCGGCUGUAUCCUUGGUGACUCUGAAUAACUUUGGGCUGAUCGCAUGGCCUAGCGCCGGCGACAUAUCCUUCGAAGGUGUGCCCUAUCAACUGUCGACUGUGGCAUAGACGCCCACAGUGGUUUUGACGGGUAACGGGGAAUCAGGGUUCGAUUCCGGAGAGGGAGCCUUAAAAACGGCUACCACAUCUAAGGAAGGCAGCAGGCACGCAAAUUACCCAAUGACCGAAGGUCGAGGUAGUGACAAAAAAUAACGAUACGGGACUCAUCUGAGGCCCCGUAAUCGGAAUGAGUACACUUUAAAACCGUCCCCGAGGAUCUAUU
rnacentral:rRNA from 1 species